UACAUAGGUCCCAAGCGUUGUUCGGAUUCACUGGGCGUAAAGGGUGCGUAGGUGGCGGGGUAAGUUUGAUGUGAAAUCUCCGGGCUUAACCCGGAAAUGGCAUUGAAUACUAUCCGGCUCGGGGGUUGGAGGGGGGACUGGAAUUCUCGGUGAAGCAGUGAAACGCGUAGAUAUCGAGAGGAACACCGGUGGCGAAGGCGAGUCCCUGGACAACACCUGACACUGAGGCACGAAAGCUAGGGGAGCAAACAGG
rnacentral:rRNA from 1 species